UUUAUGGAGAGUUUGAUCCUGGCUCAGGACGAACGCUGGCGGCGUGCCUAAUACAUGCAAGUCGAGCGAACA
rnacentral:rRNA from 2 species